rnacentral:rRNA from 1 species
GUGGGGAAUAUUCCGCAAUGGACGAAAGUCUGACGGAGCAACGCCGCGUGAGUGAUGAAGGUUUUCGGACUGUAAAGCUCUGUUGUUUAGGACGAAAGUGCCUGUUGCAAAUAGUUACAGGUAUUGACGGUACUGAACGAGGAAGCCACGGCUAACUACGUGCCAGCAGCCGCGGUAAUACGUAGGUGGCAAGCGUUGUCCGGAAUUAUUGGGCGUAAAGAGCAUGUAGGCGGGAAUCUAAGUCUGUUGUGAAAAUGCAGGGCUCAACCCCGUAUUGCGAUGGAAACUGGGUUUCUUGAGUGCAGGAGAGGAAAGGGGAAUUCCCAGUGUAGCGGUGAAAUGCGUAGAUAUUGGGAGGAACACCAGUGGCGAAGGCGCCUUUCUGGACUGUGUCUGACGCUGAGAUGCGAAAGCCAGGGUAGCGAACGGGAUUAGAAACCCUGGUAGUCC